GUGGGGAAUCUUCCGCAAUGGACGAAAGUCUGACGGAGCAACGCCGCGUGAGUGAAGAAGGUUUUCGGAUCGUAAAGCUCUUUCGUUAGGGACGAACGUGCUCUUUGUGAAUAAUGAGGAGUAAUGACGGUACCUAAAUAAGAAGCCACGGCUAACUACGUGCCAGCAGCCGCGGUAAUACGUAGGUGGCAAGCGUUGUCCGGAAUGAUUGGGCGUAAAGCGCGCGCAGGCGGGAUAUCAAGUCUGUCUUAAAAGUGCGAGGCUCAACCUCGUGAGGGGACAGAAACUGGUAUUCUUGAGUGUCGGAGAGGAAAGUGGAAGUCCAAGUGUAGCGGUGAAAUGCGUAGAGAUUUGGAAGAACACCAGUGGCGAAGGCGACUUUCUGGACGAUGUCUGACGCUGAGGCGCGAAAGCUAGGGGAGCGAACGGGAUUAGAAACCCGGUAGUCC
rnacentral:rRNA from 1 species